rnacentral:rRNA from 1 species
GAUUGACCUCGGAUCAGGCAGGGAUACCCGCC